rnacentral:rRNA from 1 species
GACGAACGCUGGCGGCGUGCUUAACACAUGCAAGUCGAACGAUGAAGCCGGAGCUUGCUCUGGUGAAUUAGUGGCGAACGGGUGAGUAACACGUGAGUAACCUGCCCUUGACUCUGGGAUAACUGCUAGAAAUGGUAGCUAAUACCGGAUACGACCCUCGGAGGCAUCUCCAGGGGGUGGAAAGAAUUUCGGUCAAGGAUGGACACGCGGCCUAUCAGCUAGGUGGUGAGGUAGCGGCUCACCAAGGCGACGACGAGUAGCCGGCCUGAGAGGGUGACCGGCCACACUGGGACUGAGACACGGCCCAGACUCCUACGGGAGGCAGCAGUGGGGAAUAUUGCACAAUGGGCGCAAGCCUGAUGCAGCAACGCCGCGUGAGGGAUGACGGCCUUCGGGUUGUAAACCUCUUUUAGUAGGGAAGAAGCGAAAGUGACGGUACCUGCAGAAAAAGCACCGGCUAACUACGUGCCAGCAGCCGCCGUAA